rnacentral:lncRNA from 1 species
UUUAUAAGUUUAUUAUUAGGCCCAAAUAAAAAAGUAUGUGUGGUUCCAGUUACAUCUGAAAAAAAGUUAGGGUAGGUAGGUAGGGAUUUUUUUUUUUUUUAUGUUUUUUUACAUUGAGUCUAUGGGAGCAACAUUCUGACUUUAACAGUGAUUAAUGAAAAAUGACAAUACAUAUAAAAAAAGAAGAUGUGGUAUGAUUGCCAAUGAGACAACUAUCCACAAAAGACCAAAAUGACACAGACAUUAACAACUAUAGGUCACCGUACGGCCUUCAACAAUGAGCAAAGCCUAUACCGCAUAGUCAGCUAUAAAAGGUCCCGAUAGGACAAUGUAAAACAAUUCAAACGAGAAAACUAACGGCCAUAUUUUUGUAAAAAAAUGAACGAAAAACAAAUAUGUAACAUAUAAACAAACGACAACCACUGAAUUACAGGCUCCUGACUUGGGACAGGCACAUACAUUAAUAAUGUGGCGGGGUUAAACAUGUUAGCGGGAUCCCAACCUUCCCCCUAACCUGGGACAGUGGUAUAACAGUACAACAUAAGAACGAACUAUAAAAAUCAGUUGAAAAAGGCUUAACUCAUCAGAUGGACA